GAACGCUGGCGGCGUGCCUAAUACAUGCAAGUCGAGCGGACCGACGGGAGCUUGCUCCCUUAGGUCAGCGGCGGACGGGUGAGUAACACGUGGGUAACCUGCCUGUAAGACUGGGAUAACUCCGGGAAACCGGGGCUAAUACCGGAUGCUUGAUUGAACCGCAUGGUUCAAUCAUAAAAGGUGGCUUUCAGCUACCACUUACAGAUGGACCCGCGGCGCAUUAGCUAGUUGGUGAGGUAACGGCUCACCAAGGCGACGAUGCGUAGCCGACCUGAGAGGGUGAUCGGCCACACUGGGACUGAGACACGGCCCAGACUCCUACGGGAGGCAGCAGUAGGGAAUCUUCCGCAAUGGACGAAAGUCUGACGGAGCAACGCCGCGUGAGUGAUGAAGGUUUUCGGAUCGUAAAACUCUGUUGUUAGGGAAGAACAAGUACCGUUCGAAUAGGGCGGCACCUUGACGGUACCUAACCAGAAAGCCACGGCUAACUACGUGCCAGCAGCCGCGGUAAUACGUAGGUGGCAAGCGUUGUCCGGAAUUAUUGGGCGUAAAGCGCGCGCAGGCGGUUUCUUAAGUCUGAUGUGAAAGCCCCCGGCUCAACCGGGGAGGGUCAUUGGAAACUGGGGAACUUGAGUGCAGAAGAGGAGAGUGGAAUUCCACGUGUAGCGGUGAAAUGCGUAGAGAUGUGGAGGAACACCAGUGGCGAAGGCGACUCUCUG
rnacentral:rRNA from 1 species